rnacentral:rRNA from 1 species
GUAGGUGGCAAGCGUUGUCCGGAAUUAUUGGGCGUAAAGCGCGCGCAGGCGGUUCGUUUAAGUCUGAUGUGAAAGCCCACGGGCUCAACCGUGGAGGGUCAUUGGAAACUGGAGAACUUGAGUACAGAAGAGGAAAGCGGAAUUCCACGUGUAGCGGUGAAAUGCGUAGAGAUGUGGAGGAACACCAGUGGCGAAGGCGGCUUUCUGGUCUGUAACUGACGCUGAGGCGCGAAAGCGUGGGGAGCAAACAGGAUUAGAUACCCUGGUAGUCCACGCCGUAAACGAUGAGUGCUAAGUGUUAGGGGGUUUCCGCCCCUUAGUGCUGCAGCUAACGCAUUAAGCGCUCCGCCUGGGGAGUACGGCCGCAAAGGCUG